rnacentral:rRNA from 1 species
GGGUUGUGAGGUUAAGUGACUAAGCGUACACGGUGGAUGCCUAGGCAGUCAGAGGCGAUGAAGGGCGUGCUAAUCUGCGAAAAGCGUCGGUAAGGUGAUAUGAACCGUUACAACCGGCGAUACCCGAAUGGGGAAACCCAGUGUGUUUCGACACAUUAUCAUGUCAUGAAUACAUAGUGGCAUGAGGCGAACCGGGGGAACUGAAACAUCUAAGUACCCCGAGGAAAAGAAAUCAACCGAGAUUCCCCCAGUAGCGGCGAGCGAACGGGGAGGAGCCCAGAACCUGAAUCGGCUUGUGUGUUAGUGGAAGCGUCUGGAAAGUCGCGCAGUAAAG